AUUCAGAACUGAAAAUAAAAAUAAAAAAGUUAAAGUGCUUGAUCUUUCUUUACAAAAAAAUUGAAAUAUAAUGUAACCAAAUCUUUAGAUCAAACCUUACAAGCUUUUAAGUUUUAUAUACAGAGUUAGAUUGAUCCAAGAAGAAAUCAAAGUUAUAGCAGUUCUAAAAUCUAUUAAUGCAAUGUAGGAGAAUAAUAAUGUUAAGAUUAUAGGCUAUACAAAAAAAAGGGGGAAAUUGAAAUACACCCAUCAAUUUUCAUAGACCUAUAAACUCUGGAACCUAUAUUUUAAAAGAAAACAAAAUUAUUUUCUAUCCCAUAGACUUCACCUCGGGCAAUGUCCUCAGGCUUCCUAGAAAUGCUAAUUGUAUAAACUGUUUUGAAUUGGUUAACAUGAAAGCUAAUAGCAAAGCCAUCCUGUAGAUAUUAGAAAAGGCAGCCAUGCUACUAGGUAAUUAACUGUUUGCCUUUACCAUGAAGGUUUGGCCUGUAGAAACACCCCCAGGACUUCUGUGACUCCUUAUAAAUAGAACCAUCAGGAGAUGAAUAGACUCUCUAGACAUCGUGGAAAAACAGAGUGCCUCAUUCCCCACAGACUGAGCUUCAUUUUAUCCACAGGCAGGAGGUGGUUUCUGUGAAGACAGGGACACUGGGCAAUUGGUCUCUUCUGAAUUAGGCCCCUGUUCUCACCCACGAACAAUCUUCAUGAUGAUGAUUGCUCAUUCCACCAUUGAAUGAAUCUGAGGAAAAGGCCAAGGAUACAGGAUGAAUGACAGUCAUGGAGAUUUCUCUUCUUUCACAGGUAAGGAAAUUCACUCAUACAAAUAGCAUUAACCAAAUUUUAUAUGAUAGGAAAGUGGAUUUUACAGGUUCUUGGUUAUUGUGCCUCUUGUACAGUAAGGAAGAAGAGGCCAAGAGAAAUAUGACCUUCAUAUAACUGAAGUAGAAAGAUGCAAUACUUGCAUUUCCAAAAAAAAAUCUUUAAAGCCCUUUUUGUAACUCAUUGAAUGUCAAAAAUCCAGUCUCUAUAGUAUGUUAGAACUUUUUUAGUUUUGACCUCUGCAUAUUUCUGUGUAAGGGAAUUACAAUGAUGAUAGCACUAUCAAUUAAAAGUAGCAAUAUGUGCAAAAUAAAUAUUUUAAUGAAAACAAAUAUUUAAAAACAAUUAUACUGCUUAUGUUCCUUGGAAAUGAGGGAGCAUGGUAAAGACUUCAUUAUUAAAGGGGAGCUUUUGUAAUACUGUAGAAAAAUCCAUCUUCACCAUAAUGAAAAUAACUUUUGAAGUUUAUAAAAAUGAAGGAAGUGAGAGAAAGAAGCAAUUCACUUGAAUAGAUUGAAGAUUUGCAUAUAUUAUAUAUGUAUAAGGUAAAUAUACAUGUUACAACAUUCAAAACAAAUUAUAACAAAAUUAUGAGUUUGCAUUUUCUUGUACCCUUCAAUCUGUAAAGGAAAACUAACUUUAACAGAAGUUUGAGUUUAAUGCAGUUAGUAUAUGGGAAAUAGUAAUUUGACAAAUAUCAUGAUGAAGUAAACAAUUUAGAAUAGGGAGAUUUAGAGAUAUAAUCAUAGUCACUGUUGAUCCAGUCAUUGAUGGACAUUGUUAGAAAUUUCAUGAUUUCAGAGGUGACCUCUGAUAUCUCAGAUUAAAUUUGAUCUUAACAAAACGGUUUCUUCUAUAAUAUUUAUGUGCAAAAAGCUCCUGAUUGGAAAAUCAAGGAAAAAUAACUUUUGACAAGAAAUCAAUCAUGAAUUUGGAAAACA